ensembl:lncRNA
AAAAAAACAAAUUUAUUAUGAAAAUAAAAGUGUGUACACCAGUUAAACUGGACGAUAAAGAAAUUGCUAACAAUAGUUUAAUAGAGCAUGUUUUAGGUUUAUAGGUGUUUAGAUGCAGAAAUUUAAUUUAAUUAAAUAUAGAUUAAUUCUUGUUAGAGCAAAAAAAAAAAAAAAUAAUAAUAAUAAUAAAUACAUGAAUACAUACAAAAAAAGCAGCCAAGACGAAUGAUUUUCUGUUUUUAUAGAUUAAAAUUAAAGACAGAAAGCAGCUGGUAAAUGCAGUCACUUUAAUAUUCAAAUCCAGUAUCAUGAUACACUUCAGAUUUAUUUCUCAACUGUUUAUGUUCACGUGACUGUUUUCGUUUAUAUUCGCCAAGCUAUUAUGUAUUUUGAAAUAACCUUGUUCUUGAUUUGUUCGUUCUUGCCAGAAUCAGCGUCCUCUGGAGCUCGAGAGAUCGAUGUUAUUCUGCCCUUAGACAGUCUCGCGCUGUCAAAUAGUCUUUC